rnacentral:misc_RNA from 1 species
ACAGUAUGUUCUGGCGACCAAUCAUAUUUGAAUGUUACCCCACACACGGUGGCGCGGGGAUCCUGUCUCUUACGGAGAACCUAGGAGAAAGCCCCGCCCUUCAGGGCGGGGAGGAUGUCAAUCGAAUCCAACUC